CACGUAUUUAGCCGGGGCUUCUUAGUCAGGUACCGUCAUUUUCUUCCCUGCUGAUAGGGCUUUACAUACCGAAGUACUCCAUCGCCCACGCGGCGUCGCUGCAUCAGGGUUCCCCCCAUUGUGCAAUAUCCCCCACUGCUGCCUCCCGUAGGAGUCUGGGCCGUGUCUCAGUCCCAAUGUGGCCGUCCACCCUCUCAGGCCGGCUACUGAUCGUCGCCUUGGUGGGCCGUUACCCCGCCAACAAGCUAAUCAGACGCGAGCCCAUCCUGCACCAUAUUACUUUCCACACCGCCCCAUGCGGGGCUGUGCGCCUAUGCGGUAUUAGCAGCCGUUUCCAGCUGUUGUCCCCCAGUGCAGGGCAGGUUGCUCACGCGUUACUCACCCGUCCGCCACUAGGCAGCGCCAAUUUCCGCUCCGAAAAGUUUCCAUCGGCGCGCCCCGUUCGACUUGCAUGUGUUAGGCACGCCGCCAGCGUUCAUCCUGAGCCAGGAUCAAACU
rnacentral:rRNA from 1 species